rnacentral:rRNA from 1 species
UGGAAACAAUCCAAGCCGUUGGCGGAGCUUGCUCCUUGAUUCUCGGCGGACGGGUGAGUAAUGCCUAGGAAUCUGCCUGGUAGUGGGGGACAACGUUUCGAAAGGAACGCUAAUACCGCAUACGUCCUACGGGAGAAAGCAGGGGACCUUCGGGCCUUGCGCUAUCAGAUGAGCCUAGGUCGGAUUAGCUAGUUGGUGAGGUAAUGGCUCACCAAGGCGACGAUCCGUAACUGGUCUGAGAGGAUGAUCAGUCACACUGGAACUGAGACACGGUCCAGACUCCUACGGGAGGCAGCAGUGGGGAAUAUUGGACAAUGGGCGAAAGCCUGAUCCAGCCAUGCCGCGUGUGUGAAGAAGGUCUUCGGAUUGUAAAGCACUUUAAGUUGGGAGGAAGGGCAGUAAGUUAAUACCUUGCUGUUUUGACGUUACCGACAGAAUAAGCACCGGCUAACUCUGUGCCAGCAGCCGCGGUAAUACAGAGGGUGCAAGCGUUAAUCGGAAUUACUGGGCGUAAAGCGCGCGUAGGUGGUUCGUUAAGUUGGAUGUGAAAGCCCCGGGCUCAACCUGGGAACUGCAUCCAAACUGGCGAGCUAGAGUACGGUAGAGGGUGGUGGAAUUUCCUGUGUAGCGGUGAAAUGCGUAGAUAUAGGAAGGAACAC